rnacentral:tRNA from 1 species
GGUAUAGCUCAGUGGUAGAGUACUUGCCUAGGAAAUGGGAGGCCCUGGGUUCAGUCCCCAGGACCA